rnacentral:rRNA from 1 species
GAUGAACGCUGGCGGCGUGCCUAAUACAUGCAAGUCGAGCGAACGGACGAGAAGCUUGCUUCUCUGAUGUUAGCGGCGGACGGGUGAGUAACACGUGGAUAACCUACCUAUAAGACUGGGAUAACUUCGGGAAACCGGAGCUAAUACCGGAUAAUAUUUUGAACCGCAUGGUUCAAAAGUGAAAGACGGUCUUGCUGUCACUUAUAGAUGGAUCCGCGCUGCAUUAGCUAGUUGGUAAGGUAACGGCUUACCAAGGCAACGAUGCAUAGCCGACCUGAGAGGGUGAUCGGCCACACUGGAACUGAGACACGGUCCAGACUCCUACGGGAGGCAGCAGUAGGGAAUCUUCCGCAAUGGGCGAAAGCCUGACCGAGCAACGCCGCGUGAGUGAUGAAGGUCUUCGGAUCGUAAAACUCUGUUAUUGGGGAAGAACAUAUGUGUAAGUAACUGUGCACAUCUUGACGGUACCUAAUCAGAAAGCCACGGCUAACUACGUG